AUUGAACGCUGGCGGCAGGCCUAACACAUGCAAGUCGAACGGUAACAGGAAGCAGCUUGCUGCUUCGCUGACGAGUGGCGGACGGGUGAGUAAUGUCUGGGAAGCUGCCUGAUGGAGGGGGAUAACUACUGGAAACGGUAGCUAAUACCGCAUAAUGUCGCAAGACCAAAGAGGGGGACCUUCGGGCCUCUUGCCAUCGGAUGUGCCCAGAUGGGAUUAGCUUGUUGGUGGGGUAACGGCUCACCAAGGCGACGAUCCCUAGCUGGUCUGGGAGGAUGACCAGCCACACUGGAACUGAGACACGGUCCAGACUCCUACGGGAGGCAGCAGUGGGGAAUAUUGCACAAUGGGCGCAAGCCUGAUGCAGCCAUGCCGCGUGUAUGAAGAAGGCCUUCGGGUUGUAAAGUACUUUCAGCGGGGAGGAAGGGAGUAAAGUUAAUACCUUUGCUCAUUGACGUUACCCGCAGAAGAAGCACCGGCUAACUCCGUG
rnacentral:rRNA from 1 species